rnacentral:rRNA from 1 species
UACAGAGGUCCCGAGCGUUGUUCGGAUUCACUGGGCGUAAAGGGCGCGUAGGUGGUGAGGUAAGUCGGAUGUGAAAUCUCCGGGCUCAACCCGGAAAUGGCAUUGGAAACUACCUUGCUCGAGGGUUGGAGGGGGGACUGGAAUACUUGGUGUAGCAGUGAAAUGCGUAGAUAUCAAGUGGAACACCAGUGGCGAAGGCGAGUCCCUGGACAACUCCUGACACUGAGGCACGAAAGCUAGGGGAGCAAACAGG